UCAUUCAUUCCUAAAUGCUACUUUUAUUGUGAGACAGAUAAGAAAUCGAUAAUGUAAUAGGAUUGUCCAGUCAGCAGUGGGACAUACAGGCUUUGUCAACUACUGCAAGGUCUGGUGGUACGGAUUCUAAGGAAUCGAAGGGAAGAUAAGUCUCCUUUCCUAGCUUGAAGACUUCCAUGUGAUAUGUCAAAACAUUUUGUUUUGAUUCUUUUGUGACAAACCAAUCACCAACCUUGGGCUCAAAGAAAGGAGAUGGGUCUUCUUCCUAUUCGGGACCGUCGAUGCCGGCGAAGGUAUGGCAAAGUGGACAAGCUGGAGGAGGGCGAAGAAGAGCCUUCAGCUUACAAUUCUCUCCAUGCAUUUGAUAUCAGUUGGCCUGGUUUAACCGCCUAUACCGCUUAGCGCCUGCCUAGACCAACUCCGAUUUUCCCUAAUGUUUCGCCCCAAAUCACCUCAAAAGCCCACCUAGGCACCACCCAACUCAUUUAUAGCCAAUCCUUAGUAAAAAUGAAAGUAACUCACUUGGAAUUCAAAAAUAUUUUUUCUAAAA